rnacentral:rRNA from 1 species
GCUUUUUGAAAUUUAAAAGUUUUUUCUGCUCGGUGUUUGUAAACAGCCGCGGUACUUUGACCGUGCAAAGGUAGCAUAAUCAUUUGCCUCGUAAUUGGGGGCUGGAAUGAAAGAAUAAACGAAAGUUUUUCUUUAUUAUAAAAAUAUAAAUAAUUUUCUUUUUUAGUGAAGAAGCUAAAAUAAUAAAGGGGACAAGAAGACCCUUUUGAGCUUUAUUUAGUUUCUUUAUAAGUAAAUUAAAUUUGGUUGGGGCGACCAAGGAAUAUCUUCCUUUAUUAUUUUGAUCCGUUUAUAACGAUUAAAAGAGCAAGUUACCAAAGGGAUAACAGCGUAAUUCUUUCUGAGAGUUCUUAUUAAAUGAAGAGAUUGCGACCUCGAUGU